rnacentral:tRNA from 1 species
UGACGAGUGGCGAAACGGUAGCCUCACCCGGCUUUGAACCGGUAUCCUGUAGGUUCGAGUCCUACCUCGUCAG